CAAGCAUCAGAGGUGGAAGUACAAACAGAAGAUAGACAUAAUUCUUCAGCAGGGCGUAAAGGCCUAGACGGGACUUGUGUAUUAGGGAGGAUAGAUAGGUGGGAGCAGCAUUAUGUAGAGAUUUGAAAGCAAGGAACAGAAUUUUAAAUUGAGCCCUAUAUCUUACAGGAAGCAAAUGUAGGGAGUGACAGAAGGGUGAGGCGCAG